CCUACGGGAGGCAGCAGUGGGGAAUAUUGGACAAUGGGGGGAACCCUGAUCCAGCCAUGCCGCGUGUGUGAAGAAGGCCCUCGGGUUGUAAAGCACUUUCAGUGAGGAAGAACGCCUGGUGGUUAAUACCCAUCAGGAAAGACAUCACUCACAGAAGAAGCACCGGCUAACUCCGUGCCAGCAGCCGCGGUAAUACGGAGGGUGCGAGCGUUAAUCGGAAUUACUGGGCGUAAAGCGCGCGUAGGUGGCUUGAUAAGCCGGUUGUGAAAGCCCCGGGCUCAACCUGGGAACGGCAUCCGGAACUGUCAAGCUAGAGUGCAGGAGAGGAAGGUAGAAUUCCCGGUGUAGCGGUGAAAUGCGUAGAGAUCGGGAGGAAUACCAGUGGCGAAGGCGGCCUUCUGGACUGACACUGACACUGAGGUGCGAAAGCGUGGGUAGCAAACAGGAUUAGAUACCCUAGGAGUC
rnacentral:rRNA from 1 species